AGAGUUUGAUCCUGGCUCAGGACGAACGUUGGCGGUGCGCUUUAUGCAUGCAAGUCGAGCGAGAAGCGUUGGUUCCGUAAGGUUCCGACGUGGAAAGCGGCGAACGGGUGCGUAACACGUGAGAAACCUGCCCCCCAGACCGGGAUAGCCCAGGGAAACUUGGAUUAAUACCGGAUAUUCUCUUUGGAUCGCAUGAUCCGUUGAGGAAAUGGUUCGCUGCUGGGGGAUGGUCUCGCGGCCUAUCAGGUAGUUGGUGAGGUAACGGCUCACCAAGCCGAAGACGGGUAGCUGGUCUGAGAGGACGAUCAGCCACACUGGAGCUGAGACACGGCCCAGACUCCUACGGGAGGCAGCAGCAGGGAAUAUUGCACAAUGGGCGAAAGCCUGAUGCAGCGACACCGCGUGCGGGAUGAAGGCCUUCGGGUUGUAAACCGCUUUCAGGAGGGAAGAAAAUGACGGUACCUCCAGAAGAAGGCCCGGCCAACUACGUGCCAGCAGCCGCGGUAAUACGUAGGGGCCAAACGUUGUCCGGAAUUAUUGGGCGUAAAGGGCUCGUAGGCGGUUCAACAAGUCGGUCGUGAAAGCCCGGGGCUCAACUCCGGGAUGCCGGUCGAAACUGUUGUGACUUGAGUUCGGUAGAGGUGAGUGGAAUUCUCAGUGUAGCGGUGGAAUGCGCAGAUAUUGAGAGGAACACCAUUAGCGAAGGCGGCUCACUGGGCCGAUACUGACGCUGAGGAGCGAAAGCGUGGGGAGCAAACAGGAUUAGAUACCCUGGUAGUCCACGCCGUAAACGAUGAACACUAGGUGUAGCGGAUUUAUUCAUGUCUGCUGUGCCGUAGCUAACGCAUUAAGUGUUCCGCCUGGGGAGUACGGCCGCAAGGCUAAAACUCAAAGGAAUUGACGGGGCCCCGCACAAGCGGCGGAGCAUGCGGCUUAAUUCGAUGCAACCCGAAGAACCUUACCUGGGUUUGACAUCAUGGGUCUAGCUGUGGAAACACAGUGUGCUUACGCGCCCAUGACAGGUGGUGCAUGGCUGUCGUC
rnacentral:rRNA from 1 species